ACGCUGGCGGCAGGCCUAACACAUGCAAGUCGAGCGGUAGCACAGGGAGCUUGCUCCUGGGUGACGAGCGGCGGACGGGUGAGUAAUGUCUGGGAAACUGCCUGAUGGAGGGGGAUAACUACUGGAAACGGUAGCUAAUACCGCAUAACGUCGCAAGACCAAAGAGGGGGACCUUCGGGCCUCUUGCCAUCAGAUGUGCCCAGAUGGGAUUAGCUAGUAGGUGGGGUAACGGCUCACCUAGGCGACGAUCCCUAGCUGGUCUGAGAGGAUGACCAGCCACACUGGAACUGAGACACGGUCCAGACUCCUACGGGAGGCAGCAGUGGGGAAUAUUGCACAAUGGGCGCAAGCCUGAUGCAGCCAUGCCGCGUGUAUGAAGAAGGCCUUCGGGUUGUAAAGUACUUUCAGCGGGGAGGAAGGCGAUAAGGUUAAUAACCUUGUCGAUUGACGUUACCCGCAGAAGAAGCACCGGCUAACUCCGUGCCAGCAGCCGCGGUAAUACGGAGGGUGCAAGCGUUAAUCGGAAUUACUGGGCGUAAAGCGCACGCAGGCGGUCUGUCAAGUCGGAUGUGAAAUCCCCGGGCUCAACCUGGGAACUGCAUUCGAAACUGGCAGGCUAGAGUCUUGUAGAGGGGGGUAGAAUUCCAGGUGUAGCGGUGAAAUGCGUAGAGAUCUGGAGGAAUACCCGGUGGCGAAGGCGGCCCCCUGGACAAAGACUGACG
rnacentral:rRNA from 1 species